rnacentral:rRNA from 1 species
AUUGAACGCUGGCGGCAGGCCUAACACAUGCAAGUCGGACGGUAGCACAGAGGAGCUUGCUCUUCGGGUGACGAGUGGCGGACGGGUGAGUAAUGUCCGGGAAACUGCCCGAUGGAGGGGGAUAACUACUGGAAACGGUAGCUAAUACCGCAUAACGUCGCAAGACCAAAGUGGGGGACCUUCGGGCCUCACACCAUCGGAUGUGCCCAGAUGGGAUUAGCUGGUAGGCGGGGUAACGGCCCACCUAGGCGACGAUCCCUAGCUGGUCUGAGAGGAUGACCAGCCACACUGGAACUGAGACACGGUCCAGACUCCUACGGGAGGCAGCAGUGGGGAAUAUUGCACAAUGGGCGCAAGCCUGAUGCAGCCAUGCCGCGUGUAUGAAGAAGGCCUUCGGGUUGUAAAGUACUUUCAGCGGGGAGGAAGGUGCUGAGGUUAAUAAGCUCAGCAAUUGACGUUACCCGCAGAAGAAGCACCGGCUAACUCCGUGCCAGCCGCCGCCGUAA